rnacentral:rRNA from 1 species
AUGGCUGAGAUGGUCAGUUCUGCCAUCGUUGGGGAGGCAGUUAGCCUGAUCUUUUCUGGCAUUGCCCCCAGCAGCAGAAACGACGACAAAUCAGAUGAAGAAGCAGCCGGAGGUGGUGGCCUGGAGAGGCUAGAGAUGGCGCGCAUCAAAAUGGAGGCCGCGCUCGAGACGUCCGACAGGUGGCAGAUCAGCGACAGGUCGCUGCUCCAUUGGCGAAAGAAGCUGAAGCGCGCUGCCCAGGAUUGCGACGACGCCGCGCGCAGAUGCAGGCGGCUUUCUCGGGAGGAAGAGGAAGCAGAGCUCGCGGUAAGGCAAUCCUCGUUUCCUCGACGUGUCGCUCACGCGACCAAGUCGCUCAUCUCCUCUCUCGUCGGCGGCGACAGUGAUCGCCGCUCGGCGGUUAGCUCCACAGCCGUCCGGAGAUUCGAGAGGCUCGCAGACGGCGCCGGUGAAUUCAUGAGAUAUGUGCAGCUGGGUGGGACGCCACGGCAAAACCUGUUCUUCGACCCUCUCAUCGGGCAUAUCUUCGCGGGCAAAACGGUUAUGUAUCAGGUGUUGCAUCCGGGAGGCAAGUAUCACUUCUUCAGCAUAAAGCUGGCUGGCUUCGAGGAGCGCGGGCUAGAGGCCAUGCUGUCCUUCACGUACGAAGACCGCGAGGCGCCCAAGAACAAUUUCGGGCUCCAGGCCAUGCUGCGUCUCUCGGAGAGUACGGACGUAAUUGGAACCACAGUCAAGUGCUUGCAGUUGAUGACGCCUCACUUCAAGGCCAUGGCCCGCGUUGCCAUCGGAGAGAUCACCCAUCUCCCCACGCAAGAUUUCUCCUGCGUUGCACGCAUGGAACACUGGAAAAUCUGGAACCAUGCUCACAGGACUUUGACUGGAUGGUUCCGUCCGGAUCCGUUGUGCUGUCAGGGACAGGGGUACGAUCACGAUCACGACAUGGUGCCUUCUUGCCACGGCGACAACGGAAAAGGAAAUAAAUCGAGCGUAUUUCCUGAACCGGUCUUCCAAGUGCUUCUUCGGCGUUACAUCUCACUAUCUAAGUACCGUGACAUGUCGGGAUCAACCGCAGUCACUGGUCAUGGCGACACGUCUUGUUUGGAUAAUUGCCCGCGUUUCAAGCUUGGGAUUCUGUUCCUGCCUCAUGACUCUCUGGAGGACCCAAAGUCUGCCGGUUGUGCUAUAGAUGUGGUCGAUAGAGCGAAUCAACACCACCUCACACAUGUAAAUGUUCAGUCGGACCAGCUCGACAAGAUGUUUCUCCCCAAGGCGAUCGAUUAUCUUCGUCGAAACGCCGAGGCCAUGAUGUACAAGGCAUGCUGGAGGUCCAACCAUGGCAGUGCGCACCUAUGUGCGGAAAAGAGAGGCGCAGAAAGAAUUCUCAGAGCAUGUGUUGCCACACGACAAGGUAGAAACAUCAAGAGUACCGAGGAGCUUCGUCUUCUGCAGCUGGAUAAGCAGGUGCAGAGUUGGAAGCAUAUAGCCGGGGCUUUCCUAAAACUAUGGGUUGUGCGUUCCUCCGAGAGGCUGCGGAGCUCCUUUACCGUUUGGUUCAAUGAGUUAGGACAAAGCUUGUGA